GACGAACGCUGGCGGCGUGCUUAACACAUGCAAGUCGAACGGAAAGGCCCUGCUUUUGUGGGGUGCUCGAGUGGCGAACGGGUGAGUAACACGUGAGUAACCUGCCCUUGACUUUGGGAUAACUUCAGGAAACUGGGGCUAAUACCGGAUAGGAGCUCCUGCUGCAUGGUGGGGGUUGGAAAGUUUCGGCGGUUGGGGAUGGACUCGCGGCUUAUCAGCUUGUUGGUGGGGUAGUGGCUUACCAAGGCUUUGACGGGUAGCCGGCCUGAGAGGGUGACCGGCCAAAUUGGGACUGAGAUACGGCCCAGACUCCUACGGGAGGCAGCAGUGGGGAAUAUUGCACAAUGGGCGGAAGCCUGAUGCAGCAACGCCGCGUGCGGGAUGACGGCCUUCGGGUUGUAAACCGCUUUCGCCUGUGACGAAGCGUGAGUGACGGUAAUGGGGAAAGAAGCACCGGCUAACUACGU
rnacentral:rRNA from 1 species